AACGAACGCUGGCGGCAUGCCUAACACAUGCCAGUCGAACGAGACCUUCGGGCCUAGUGGCGCACGGGUGCGUAACGCGUGGGAACCUGCCCUUAGGUUCGGAAUAACUCCCCGAAAGGGGAGCUAAUACCGGAUAAUGUCAUCGGACAUAAGAUGUAUCGCCUUAGGAUGGGCCCGCGUUGGAUUAGCUAGUUGGUAGGGUACAAGCCUACCAAGGCGACGAUCCAUAGCUGGUCGGUGAGGAUGACCAGCCACGCUGGGACUGAGACACGGCCCAGACCCCGACGGGAGGCAGCAGAGGAGAAUAUUGGACAAGGGGCGAAAGACUGGUCCAGCAAUGCCGCGGGAGUGAUGAAUGCGUUAGGGUUGUAAAUCUCUUUUACCCGGGAUGAGAAUGACAGUACCGGGAGAAUAAGCUCCGGCUAACUACGUG
rnacentral:rRNA from 1 species